rnacentral:rRNA from 1 species
UGGGGAAUUUUCCGCAAUGGGCGAAAGCCUGACGGAGCAAUACCGCGUGAGGGAAGACUGCCUAUGGGUUGUAAACCUCUUUUUUCAGGGAGGAAUAAAAUGACGUGUACCUGAAGAAUAAGCAUCGGCUAACUCCGUGCCAGCAGCCGCGGUAAGACGGAGGAUGCAAGUGUUAUCCGGAAUCACUGGGCGUAAAGCGUCUGUAGGUGGUUUAAUAAGUCAACUGUUAAAUCUUGAGGCUCAACUUCAAAAUCGCAGUCGAAACUAUUAGACUAGAGUAUAGUAGGGGUAAAGGGAAUUUCCAGUGGAGCGGUGAAAUGCGUAGAUAUUGGAAAGAACACCGAUGGCGAAAGCACUUUACUGGGCUAUUACUAACACUCAGAGACGAAAGCUAGGGUAGCAAAUGGGAUUAGAUACCCCAGUAGUCCUAGCCGUAAACUAUGGAUACUAGAUGUUGAACAGAUCGACCUGUGCAGUAUCAAAGCUAACGCGUUAAGUAUCCCGCCUGGGAAGUAUGCUCGCAAGAGUG